rnacentral:lncRNA from 1 species
AGUUUAAGUCCACUCAUUUGCCUGUCUUUCCUUCCAGGUAGCUAUAGAGUCUCCUGCGUUGAACGGAGACCCCAGGAACAGUUGUUCUCCACACUACAUCCACCACUAGCAGCCCAGCGAGUACCUGAAGGCCUUGGUGGCUGCGGGGGAGAUUUGCCAGGACUCUGCCAGCAUUUCAGCCUCAGAGUUACCUGUCACCACUCACAGUCCCUGCAGAGGCCAGAGAUUUCUCCUGGAAGGAAAGACUCAAGAGAAAUCACAGGGAUAAAGGCAGAGUGCAGCCAAGCCUUGCCUGUGCUGAUGCCCAAGAGGGUGAAGAGGGUGAAUGAUUUCUGCUCCAGCCACGUGCCAGGCACCAUGCUGCUGCUUGGGACAGGGCACAGAGUGAAGCUGGCAGGAGGGACCCCAGGAACCAAUGACUGUCUCGUGACAGUCCCGACCAGCAACACAGACGAAAAGUGCGCUGUGCUACAAACAGAAGGCGGAGCGACAAAACCCAGCAUGGGAGGAAGAAGAGGCAUCCGUUCUUUAUUUGGAGACCUAAGAAAGAAGAAGAAAUGUCUGAAUUGACCCAAAAAUUUUUUAAGGGGAAAAAAAAGGAAUAGAAGUGAGAGUUGGCCUUUGUGGACAAAACCACAUAAUCAGGAUCUGAUGGUACUAACCAAAGAUUGACAGGUAUCCCUGGAAAAGAAGAGGGAGCCCUAUGUGUGUGUGUGACAUUAAUUUAGUGGGAAAGGUUAGCCAAUUUGAGGUAAGAUAAAACCACAACUGGCUCUCUGUCUGGAAAAAUCUGUAUUUGGACCCUCACCUCCCACCCAUCACAAAAAUCAGUUCCAGAUGGAUUAAGGCCUAAUGAACUGAACAAUAAAUAGCAACCCUAACAGAAGUGGAAAUAGAAA